CAUGCAGUCGAACGGCAGCAUGAUCUAGCUUGCUAGAUUGAUGGCGAGUGGCGAACGGGUGAGUAAUACAUCGGAACGUGCCCUGUAGUGGGGGAUAACUAGUCGAAAGAUUAGCUAAUACCGCAUACGACCUGAGGGUGAAAGUGGGGGACCGCAAGGCCUCAUGCUAUAGGAGCGGCCGAUGUCUGAUUAGCUAGUUGGUGAGGUAAAGGCUCACCAAGGCGACGAUCAGUAGCUGGUCUGAGAGGACGAUCAGCCACACUGGGACUGA
rnacentral:rRNA from 1 species